GAGUUGCUUUCCGUCGAACGCCUCUACGUUGCAAAGAAACGAGUCACGAAGCUUUGGGUGUCUGCGUUCUUCGAAGCAGAGGUGUACAAGCAUCCACUGAGGAACGUCCCUGUGUACGCUGAUCAACGGAGGAUCGGUUCAGCGUGUCGCACGAGGCAGCACCUUGAAACGAGUCACGAAGCUUUGAGUGUCUGCUUUCUUCUAAGCAGAGGUCUACAAGCAUCCACUGAGGAACGUCCCUGUGUACGCUGAUCAACGGAGGAUCGGUUCAGCGUGUCGCACGAGGCAGCACCUUGAAACGAGUCACGAAGCUUUGAGUGUCUGCUUUCUUCUAAGCAGAGGUCUACAAGCAUCCACUGAGGAACGUCCCUGUGUACGCUGAUCAACGGAGGAUCGGUUCAGCGUGUCGCACGAGGCAGCACCUUGAAACGAGUCACGAAGCUUUGGGUGUCUGCGUUCUUCGAAGCAGAGGUGUACAAGCAUCCACUGAGGAACGUCCCUGUGUACGCUGAUCAACGGAGGAUCGGUUCAGCGUGUCGCACGAGGCAGCACCUUGCGCCGCAGAGUGGGCAAUGUGCUGGCGAAGAACGACCGCUCGUGCCCUAUGGAAUUCUAAUCUAUCGAUGUGACUGGAAGAGCAUGCUUUAUUAGACUAGUCUUCCGGUAGGUCACGGGGGGAAAAGCUCCGCACGAUGCGCUCGAACGAGUUUAUUGCAUAUCCUUAGGGAUCGUUAAACCUGACCGCAGUCUACCCGUGUGCACGACUACGAUCGGCAGGUAGAGAAGCGCCCGCUAUGCGCUUCCGGACCUCGUGUGUACCAUGGAUCCAAGACCAGAAGUUGCUUCGUGAUCAUGGUACGUUCAUGCGAUGCACGCGGGUGUCUUGCAUGGAUCCAUCGAGUAUCGACAACUGUGCCUGGUGAAUGGCGCUGCGGACGACGUACGAACAAAGACCAGCUUUGCUUUAGCCUGUGUGGGUGCUGGCUCCAGUGAGUUUCCGAGCAGAUGGCACGCCGAGCGUACCGCUUGCGGGCGACUUCAGUCUCCGAACUAGUGGUCCGGUCACCAGCUAGAGUGUGCAUCUGAAGGAGCAACGGCCAGCGAAGCCAUGUAUUCACAUAUUGAGUAUCCGCCCGGGAAGUAUGCAGGUUUUACGUAUGCUUGCAGGUUUGCGGGUACGCGACCACAUUCACGAAAGCGCUUUCGCAAGAAUGGCGCUGACUCUCUACCCGUUUCAGAUGAGAGUGGAACACUGAUUUGUUCACUCUGUUGCUGGUGUGAGAUUUUUAUUCGAACUUUUUUCCUUCUAGACGCACUGCAUCGACACUCCAUGCCCAGGUGCUCGUGCUGAGGGAUUCUCGGCGAUAUUUUCCGAGUGGCUGGUCUGCCACUCUGCUGCGGGAACACGUUACAUCAUCGGAAUCGAUAUGAUUCGUGACGCGUUCAUGUAACGGAGCGCAAACUAAUGGAAACCAUGAUUCAGCAUAUACGCGGAAGCAUCCAUGCUUCCCGUUUUACUACGGCUUCCAUGUGCAAAUCAAGCAUGCUUCAAGAGCUCGAGCUUUGCGUUUCGAGGUAACUCGUGGGACGAGGUAUGCUCGCCACAGCAUCCACGUAGAAAACCGGGUGUCGUCUCUCGACGUUUUGUACACAAGCGCAUACCAAAAGAUCGUUGAACUUUUCACAAAAAUGCAUCGAUUCCGUUUGAAAGCCAAGUCACUCUCAUUCUGUGGCGAUCUACAAAACGGUAUCUAAACAAGCAGGAUGCCUCUCAUGGGUAUUUUCCCAAAAGUUCCCGCCUCCUGUGUUUGCACAGAAAAGCGCUUUGUACUCGGACGUGAAUCAUCGCAGCGUUCAUAUCCAGUGCAGCAUGCGUCACCAUUUUUCAAGAAUGGAGCGCAGACGGUUCGGGAUAACUCGACUUGAGCCUAGAUUUUCCUCUCUGUACUUGUUUCAUCAUGGACAGUAUCACUAUCCAGAAAUCGUGCAUCAUAUCGGACGAGCUGCACUUGCGUGCGUACGCACCGGACAGCAUCCUCGACCAGGGGAUCGCUGCACAGAAGCCCAUGAUCCUGGGCUACGGCACCGGGCGCUGAAAGCCAACGCGGGCAUCGAGGCGAACCUACUGAACCCACGAAGCGCAUGUGCCGAGCGCACGCACUUGCCACCAUGCGGUGCACGGGAGAGGAGGCGUGAUGGACAAAUGAGAACUCCUGAACGAAAUUAGGGUACCAUCGCUGCACAACGGUACACCAAAUCCCUACCAACUGAAAAUGAGACAGACAAGCGAAGCGUCAAUCGCAGCGAUACCCGGACGUUGGGUGUCAACUACAUACCUCGACUGCAUGCAACGGAGCGAUAGGGAAUCGAGAGAUCAGCGUUUAGAAAACCAGACA